AGAGUUUGAUCCUGGCUCAGAAUCAACGCUGGCGGCGUGCCUAACACAUGCAAGUCGAACGAGAAAGCGGGGGCAACUCCGUGAGUAAAGUGGCGACCGGGUGAGUAACACGUAGCUAACCUACCCUGAAGUGGGGGAUAACCUGGGGAAACCCGGGCUAAUACCGCAUAACAUCCUGAUGGCGCAAGCCAAUGGGAGCAAAGGCCCGCAAGGGCCGCUGGAGGAGGGGGCUGCGGCCGAUUAGCUAGUUGGUGAGGUAACGGCCCACCAAGGCGAUGAUCGGUAGCCGGCCUGAGAGGGCGCACGGCCACACUGGCACUGACACACGGGCCAGACUCCUACGGGAGGCAGCAGUGGGGAAUUUUGCACAAUGCCCGAAAGGGUGAUGCAGCAACGCCGCGUGAGGGAUGAAGGCCUUCGGGUCGUAAACCUCUUUCGAUCGGGAAAAACGGACGGGUGAAUAGCCCGUUCUGAUGGUACCGGAUGAAGAAGCCCCGGCCAACUACGUGCCAGCAGCCGCGGUAAUACGUAGGGGGCGAGCGUUGUUCGGAAUUACUGGGCGUAAAGGGCGUGUAGGCGGUGCGGUAAGUGGGGCGUGAAAUCCCCGGGCUUAACCCGGGGGGGUCGUUCCAGACUGCCGUGCUAGGGUGCGGGAGAGGGCAGUGGAAUUCCCGGUGUAGCGGUGAAAUGCGUAGAUAUCGGGAGGAACACCUGCGGCGAAGGCGGCUGCCUGGACCGUAACCGACGCUGAGGCGCGAAAGCUAGGGGAGCAAACAGGAUUAGAUACCCCUGGUAGUCCUAGCCCUAAACGUUGAACACUGGGUGUAGCCCCUCACGGGGCUGUGCCGAAGCUAACGCAUUAAGUGUUCCGCCUGGGGAGUACGGUCGCAAGGCUGAACUCAAGGAAUUGACGGGGGCCCGCACAAGCGGUGGAGCAUGUGGUUCAAUUCGACGCAACGCGAAGAACCUUACCUGGACUCGAAAUUUUGUUGACAGUCUC
rnacentral:rRNA from 1 species